GGACCCGCACAAGCGGCGGAGCAUGCGGAUUAAUUCGAUGCAACGCGAAGAACCUUACCAAGGCUUGACAUAUAGAGGAAAGUUCUGGAAACAGUUCCCCCGCAAGGUCUCUAUACAGGUGGUGCAUGGUUGUCGUCAGCUCGUGUCGUGAGAUGUUGGGUUAAGUCCCGCAACGAGCGCAACCCUCGUUCUAUGUUGCCAGCACGUUAUGGUGGGAACUCAUGGGAUACUGCCGGGGUCAACUCGGAGGAAGGUGGGGAUGACGUCAAAUCAUCAUGCCCCUUAUGUCUUGGGCUUCACGCAUGCUACAAUGGCCGGUACAAAGGGCUGCAAUGCCGUGAGGUGGAGCGAAUCCCAAAAAAGACCGGUCCCAGUUCGGAUUGAGGUCUGCAACUCGACCUCAUGAAGUCGGAGUCGCUAGUAAUCGCAGAUCAGCAACGCUG
rnacentral:rRNA from 1 species